AUUGAACGCUGGCGGCAGGCCUAACACAUGCAAGUCGAGCGGAUGAUGGGAGCUUGCUCCUGGAUUCAGCGGCGGACGGGUGAGUAAUGCCUAAGAAUCUGCCUGGUAGUGGGGGACAACGUUUCGAAAGGAACGCUAAUACCGCAUACGUCCUACGGGAGAAAGCAGGGGACCUUCGGGCCUUGCGCUAUCAGAUGAGCCUAGGUCGGAUUAGCUAGUUGGUGGGGUAAAGGCCUACCAAGGCGACGAUCCGUAACUGGUCUGAGAGGAUGAUCAGUCACACUGGAACUGAGACACGGUCCAGACUCCUACGGGAGGCAGCAGUGGGGAAUAUUGGACAAUGGGCGAAAGCCUGAUCCAGCCAUGCCGCGUGUGUGAAGAAGGUCUUCGGAUUGUAAAGCACUUUAAGUUGGGAGGAAGGGCAGUAAGUUAAUACCUUGCUGUUUUGACGUUACCAACAGAAUAAGCACCGGCUAACUUCGUGCCAGCCGCCGCCGUAAGAC
rnacentral:rRNA from 1 species